rnacentral:misc_RNA from 1 species
UGGUGGGGGUGGUGGCUUUGGUGGUGGCGUAGGGUAUGGAGGUGGAGCAGGUGGAGGUGCAGGUGGAGGUAUUGGAGGUGGUGUAGGCAAUGGUGGUGGCAUAGGAAAAGGUGGAGGCUUAGGUGGUGGAGUUGGAAAGGGUGGUGGCAUUGGAGGUGGGAUAGGAAAGGGAGGUGGAUUAGGUGGUGGGAUAGGAAAAGGUGGUGGUCUUGGUGGUGGAAUAGGUAAGGGUGGUGGAAUUGGAAAGGGAGGUGGAUUAGGUGGCCGCCACGGUGGUGGGAUAGGAAAGGGAGGAGGAUUAGGUGGUGGCAACGGUGGUGGCAUAGGAAAGGGUGGCGGAAUAGGUGGAGGCCAUGGUGGUGGAAUAGGAAAGGGUGGCGGAUUAGGUGGAGGUCAUGGUGGUGGGAUAGGAAAGGGUGGAGGCGGAGGCAUUGGUGGUGGAAUUGGCAAAGGUGGAGGACUAGGCGGUGGCAUUGGAAAAGGUGGAGGACUAGGUGGUGGAAUUGGUAAGGGUGGUGGUCUUGGGGGAGGGAUAGGAAAAGGUGGUGGAGUUGGUGGAGGAGCAAGUGGAGGGUUUGGUAAAGGUGGCGGCAUUGGAGGAGGAGGGAUUGGAAAUGGUGGUGGAUUAGGAGGAGGUGGUGGUGGUGCCGGUGGAGGUUUUGGUAAAGGUGGUGGUUUUGGAGGAGGUAUUGGAAAAGGUGGGGGCAUUGGCGGCGGUGGUGGCUUUGGAAAAGGUGGGGGAGUUGGAGGAGGCAUAGGAGGUGGUUCUGGAGGUGGGUUUGGUGGAGGAGUAGGUGGCGGUGCUGGAGGUGGAUUUGGUGGGGGUGGUGGUUUCGGAGGUGGAGGGGGCGGUGGAAUUGGACACCAUUAAACGUGAGCAUUGCAUGCAUGCAAUGACAUAUAUAAUAUUCAGGAAUAUUAUAUAUAAAUGAUGAUUAUAUAUAUAUAGUUUCUCUUUGCACCUAAUGAUUUUUGUAUUAAACUUGUUAUAAUUGUAGAACCUAUGGUUAAAUUUCGUUCCUGAUGAGGGUGGAAUAAAUCAAAGUUUACAGAUAAUAAGAAUCCAGAAAUUCUGUGGAGAAAGACCUUUAUGUUUGAUCUAUUGCUAUGGCAAUGGCUGUACCCUAUAGUGAACUACAACAUUGCAUUUACUGCCAUACAAACCCAAAACUCAACAAUUUGAAGCAAAUGCGUAGCUCACCACAUUCAGUUUCUUUUGUUUUUCUUUACGAAAUAUGAUAGGAAUGGCAAUGGGAAUGGGACAAGUACCAAUGAAUGAGUUAUAGAGCUAUUCAACAGAAAAAAAUAAUACACUAGAGAAAAAAAAAAAAAAGGAUGAG